UACGUAGGUGACAAGCGUUGUCCGGAUUUACUGGGCGUAAAGAGCGCGCAGGCGGUCGAUCAAGUCGAGUGUGAAAGCCCCCGGCUCAACUGGGGAGGGUCAUUCGAAACUGGUCGACUCGAAGGCAGGAGAGGGUAGUGGAAUUCCCGGUGUAGUGGUGAAAUGCGUAGAUAUCUGGAGGAACACCGGUGGCGAAGGCGGCGUUCUGGACUGCAACUGACACUGAGGAACGAAAGCCAGGGGAGCAAACGGG
rnacentral:rRNA from 1 species